GAUGAACGCUGGCGGCGUGCCUAAUACAUGCAAGUCGAGCGAACAGACGAGGAGCUUGCUCCUCUGACGUUAGCGGCGGACGGGUGAGUAACACGUGGAUAACCUACCUAUAAGACUGGGAUAACUUCGGGAAACCGGAGCUAAUACCGGAUAACAUGUUGAACCGCAUGGUUCAACAGUGAAAGACGGUCUUGCUGUCACUUAUAGAUGGAUCCGCGCCGCAUUGGCUAGUUGGUAAGGUAACGGCUUACCAAGGCAACGAUGCGUAGCCGACCUGAGAGGGUGAUCGGCCACACUGGAACUGAGACACGGUCCAGACUCCUACGGGAGGCAGCAGUAGGGAAUCUUCCGCAAUGGGCGAAAGCCUGACGGAGCAACGCCGCGUGAGUGAUGAAGGUCUUCGGAUCGUAAAACUCUGUUAUUAGGGAAGAACAAAUGUGUAAGUAACUAUGCACGUCUUGACGGUACCUAAUCAGAAAGCCACGGCUAACUACGUG
rnacentral:rRNA from 1 species